rnacentral:rRNA from 1 species
AGAGUUUGAUCCUGGCUCAGAUUGAACGCUGGCGGCAUGCCUUACACAUGCAAGUCGAACGGCAGCACGGGAGUAAUCCUGGUGGCGAGUGGCGAACGGGUGAGUAAUAUAUCGGAACGUGCCCAGUCGUGGGGGAUAACGCAGCGAAAGCUGUGCUAAUACCGCAUACGAUCUCUGGAUGAAAGCGGGGGACUCGCAAGAGCCUCGCGCGAUUGGAGCGGCCGAUAUCAGAUUAGCUAGUUGGUGGGGUAAAGGCCCACCAAGGCGACGAUCUGUAGCUGGUCUGAGAGGACGACCAGCCACACUGGAACUGAGACACGGUCCAGACUCCUACGGGAGGCAGCAGUGGGGAAUUUUGGACAAUGGGCGCAAGCCUGAUCCAGCAUUGCCGCGUGCAGGAUGAAGGCCUUCGGGUUGUAAACUGCUUUUGUACAGAACGAAAAGGUCUGCCUUAAUACUGUGGGCCCAUGACGGUACCGUAAGAAUAAGCACCGGCUAACUACGUGCCAGCAGCCGCGGUAAUACGUAGGGUGCGAGCGUUAAUCGGAACUACUGGGCGUAAAGCG